ACUGUAGAAAACCAAAGUACAAGGAAAAUACUUCUCACCGUGGCUUAGUCUGCGCCAGUAGUAAUGCAUUAGAAAGUAAACGCGUUCGCGAAGUAACCUAUUCGUCCAUGCUCCUCGACCGAUUCACGACAAGUACGAUCGCCGAUUCUCACCACCUUUGCACACGCAAAUCAAGCCCAGCCGCAAAAUCGUCGAGCAAAGGCAGCCAUCUUUGCUGGCUCCGAAACGGGCUGUGGUUUGUGACAGAGAGACGUUAGUGGUAUCUUGAUGCGGUUCAACCGACCAUCCCGUCGCCUAUGCACUCUACGAAAGUUCGGAAAUCAUUUUUAAGCGCGGUUAAAUAGGGGAAUUGAGGAACUCGUGUCACGAAUUCGUGCUACCAAAAUAUGGCAAUGGAGACGCCGAAGGAGCGUGAGAUCGCCGCGGAGGAUAGUAUCAAGGUAGUCUGUAGGUUUCGACCUUUGAACGACUCCGAGGAAAGGGCUGGCUCGAAGUUUAUCGUUAAAUUCCCUUCCGGCGGCGAAGAGAAUUGCAUCUCCAUUGGGGGAAAAGUAUAUCUUUUUGACAAAGUAUUUAAACCAAAUGCUACUCAAGACAAAGUAUAUAACGAAGCGGCUAGAUCAAUUGUCACAGACGUAUUGGCUGGAUACAAUGGCACUAUUUUUGCAUAUGGUCAAACAUCUUCGGGAAAAACGCACACGAUGGAAGGUAUUAUCGGAGAUCCAAAUAAACAGGGUAUCAUUCCCAGAAUUGUUAACGAUAUUUUCAAUCACAUCUACGGCAUGGAAGAAAACUUGGAAUUUCAUAUCAAAGUCUCAUAUUUUGAAAUCUAUAUGGAUAAAAUCAGAGAUCUUCUCGAUGUGUCUAAAGUAAAUUUAAGCGUACACGAAGAUAAGAAUCGAGUUCCAUUCGUGAAAGGUGCAACAGAGCGAUUUGUAUCUAGUCCCGAAGAAGUAUUCGAGGUAAUAGAGGAAGGAAAAUCUAUUAGACACAUCGCUGUAACUAAUAUGAAUGAGCACAGUUCGCGUUCUCAUUCCGUAUUCUUAAUAAACGUGAAACAAGAAAAUCUGGAAAAUGAAAAAAAGCUUUCUGGAAAAUUGUAUCUUGUUGAUUUGGCUGGUUCCGAGAAGGUUUCCAAGACGGGGGCAGAGGGCACCGUGUUGGACGAAGCAAAAAAUAUUAAUAAAUCCUUAUCGGCGCUUGGCAAUGUAAUUUCAGCUUUAGCCGAUGGAAACAAAACUCACAUUCCUUAUCGUGAUUCAAAGUUGACUCGAAUUCUACAAGAAUCUCUCGGUGGCAAUGCUAGAACUACGAUUAUUAUUUGUUGCUCGCCAGCUAGUUUUAACGAAUCAGAAACAAAAUCGACCUUAGACUUUGGUAAACGUGCCAAGACUAUCAAGAACGUUGUCUGUGUCAACGAGGAAUUGACAGCUGAAGAAUGGAAACGUCGCUACGAGAGAGAAAAAGAGAAGGCAGCUAGGUUGAAAGGAAAAGUUGAGAAAUUGGAGGCUGAAUUAUCGCGUUGGCGACAGGGUGAAACGGUUAAUCCCGAGGAACAAGUUAAUUUGGUAGAAGCGCAAGACGUUAUAACGCCAAUUCACAUUUCCAUUGAAGGUAAACUUGACGAUGGUCCGAUGCCAGCAACUCCUGGUGGCAGCCUGAUGGCAGGCUCUUUAUCCAACGAAGAAAGACAAAAACUGGAAGAGGAACGAGAAAGACUUUAUCAACAAUUGGAUGACAAGGAUGAGGAGAUUAACCAACAAUCGCAAUACGUCGAGAAGUUGAAAGAACAAAUGGAAGAACAGGAGGAAUUAAUCGCCAGUGCAAGACGAGAUUACGAGCAACUCCAACAAGAAAUGAACCAAAUACAACUAGAAAACGAAAGCGCCAAGGAAGAAGUUAAAGAAGUUUUGCAAGCACUGGAGGAACUUGCAGUUAAUUAUGACCAAAAAUCGCAGGAGGUUGAAGGGAAAAAUAAAGAACAGGAAGCUUUGAUGGAAGAGCUUCUAACUAAACAAACAGCAUUGAACACUACUGCUUCCGAAUUGCAACAACUACGAGACAUGUCUGCGCAUCAGAAGAAACGCAUCGCGGAAAUGUUAGCGAAUUUAUUGAAAGAUUUGGGCGAAAUUGGAGUUGCUAUUGGCGGCGAUGAAAAUUUGAAGGUUGCGCCGGAAAGCAAUGGUAAACUCGAAGAAGAAUUCACAGUGGCGAGACUUUUCAUUAGCAAAAUGAAAUCAGAGGUGAAGAAUUUAGUACAACGUUGCCAGGGAUUGGAAAGUUUCCAAGUGGACUGCAACAAGAAAGUUUCUGAAUAUGAAAAAGACUUGGCCGAUUGUCGUUUAUUAAUAUCGCAACACGAAGCUCGUAUGCAGACAUUAACGGAAUCGAUGAAAGUAGCGGAAACGCGAAAACGCGCUUUAGAAGAGGACGUCGAUGCUCUACGCGAAGAAUGCGCAAAGCUGAAAGCUGCGGAGCAAGUACAAGCUGUCACGAAUAAGGAAAAAGCUGAAGAAAAGGAAGCAGCGACAAAGAUGAGAGUGGCACUGGAAGAACAAAUGGAUCAAUUGCGGGAUGCUCAUCAGAAACAGGUUGCUGCGCUCCGAGACGAACUAUCUGAAAAGCAAGAAUUAAUCGGUGAACUGAAAGAUUUGAAUCAGAAAUUCACGUUAGCUCAUCAACAAAUGCAAGCCGAUUACGAACGACUGAAACAAGAAGAAGCAAACAAGUCCGUUAAACUACAAGAACUAAUCUUGCUUAACGAACGCCGGGAACAAGCACGAAAAGAUCUCAAAGGUCUGGAGGAGACGGUAGCCAAAGAACUUCAAACGUUGCACAACUUGCGCAAACUAUUCGUCCAGGAUCUCCAGUCUAGAAUAAAGAAAACUAUGAAUGCGGAAGACAACGAAGACGACGGCGGAUCGCUUACGCAAAAACAAAAGAUUUCCUUUUUGGAGAACAAUUUAGAUCAGCUUACAAAGGUUCACAAGCAACUCGUGAGGGACAACGCCGAUCUUCGUUGCGAAUUGCCCAAGCUUGAGAAGAGAUUGCGAGCUACAAUGGAGCGCGUGAAAGCCCUCGAGACAGCAUUGCGAGACGCCAAAGAAGGCGCAAUGCGAGAUCGUAAACGCUAUCAGUUCGAGGUAGAUAGAAUCAAGGAAGCUGUAAGACAGAAGAGUCUGGCCCGUCGCGGACCAAUUCCACAGAUUGCUAAACCGAUUAGAGCUGGUCAACAUCAUAUAACCAAUGUUAACCAAUGUAUGAUUAGAACAGGAAAUCGUGAUGCAAAUAAUUAAACAUCUACAUUCUGAUUGUGAUAUCGUGGGUUUGUUCGAUUUUAUAUGAAAGGAAUCGAUCUGGGACGGUCUACAUUUUCGAAUAUGGGUAACAACGUACAGCGAUCGUGAGCAUAAUGCCAAACCCUUCACUUUUACAGAAAACACAUGCAAGAACGCUUUCAUCGAUGAAAACAAAAGAGUUCCAGAGACUCUGAUUCAAUUACAAUAGUAAGGGCAAUAGACGUAUAAUAUAUCCGCAAGGAGCACCGCCAGUUCUUUUUAUUUAUCUCGAAACAAGCAUGUGCUUGGGUAUAUUCAGACAAGUGCAUUAAGUUACGAAGUUAGCGCUGCAUGUCCUAUCGAUUUGUAAAUAGUUAAUUUUUAUAAAUUAUUUAAUUUAAUAUUAUGCACGAUAAAUAAAGGUGAAUGUCUGUCAAAUAAUCACGCAAAGGCCUCUCGUAUAAAAUACUUUGAUUACUUUAUACUACUAUGUCCUAUUCCAAAUAUUUCAUCAUCUUGAAAGGAAAAAAAUUAAAUGAAUUCCGCUUAUCGCAAGAUAACGACUAAAUUUUUCAGAUUCACUCUGAUAUAAUUUGACUGGCUUGUAUGUAGUAGUUUUAUCGAAUCUGCUAUAAGGCAUUAAAAUUUUUGAAUAAAGGAGGCAGUACUAUUAAAGAUUUGGUAGGUAUCGCUAACGUGAGAUGCGAUUGGACAUGCGGCCUUGAGAAAAUUGUAGAAAUGAUCGUGGCUUAUAAGUAUUUAUAAUUGUAAGAAUUCUCUCCAUUGCUAUUAACAAAUUUGCGACGACAGAUAACUCGAGAUCUUUCUGACGAGGGCCCGCUUAACCGGGAGAGUUAAGUUUGUUGGCUUCUCUAACUGAUUACCAAGGUCCAAGAACCAACGGCUUUACGAGAGAAUAUUUUCGACAGGACAAUUUCAUCCCAACCUUCAUUCACGUUUACUUUAUACUAAUUAUAGUCCAGUUUUCAUUGCAUCGAUCUUUAUAUAAUCAUUUAAUUUAAAUUAAUUUAUUAUCGCUUAUUUUGUUUAUAUCAGAGGCUUUUUAUACUACAUUUAAAGUUCGCAGCCCAACGAAAUUGGUCUGUAGGAGAGUCUUUUGUCUUAGAUAAACAAUUUAGUUUACGUUUCUUCGUUAUUGAGCUCGUGCUCAGAAGUUACCUAAAUGUAUACUGUACGUCUAAUUGUGAGCUGUUGCACAGGUCUGCUUAAGUUCCUAAAACCUGUUGCAGGCCACGGAUAAUUCGCUCGCAACACAUUGUUUCACAAGUAUAUAUAUCGUACACACAAGUGCAUUUUCUUUUUUCCUUUUUUUCUUUUUAAUAAACUCUGUUCUCUAUCUGUAUUUUGUCAGUAAUUAAUGCUUUCCAAUGCGUACUUUUUACAUACCUUUUGUAACUAUUUUAUUCACAGUUCUUAUGGAAAACUGUAAGCCACACGUACUUGAUGUAUCGUCUAGACCAAGAGAAUUCUAAACGUUUAUUAAUGUAGUAAGACAUAAGUUUUUUGUAAACUGUGCGCAACAACAUACCUGUUUGUUUGCGAUAAGCUGGAAUCUUGUUACGCUCAGAGAUUUUUUGAUACUUAAAAGAAGAGAAAGAAA